GCAUUUGUGGUGUAGUGGUCAGCACGCUGGGAUAGUAUUCCAGAGGUCCGUGGUACGAGUCCCAGCGAAGGCG
rnacentral:tRNA from 1 species